rnacentral:rRNA from 1 species
AGCGAACGCUGGCGGCAGGCCUAACACAUGCAAGUCGAACGAAGUCUUCGGACUUAGUGGCGGACGGGUGAGUAACACGUGGGAACGUGCCUUUAGGUUCGGAAUAACUCAGGGAAACUUGUGCUAAUACCGAAUGUGCCCUUCGGGGGGAAGAUUUAUCGCCUUUAGAGCGGCCCGCGUCUGAUUAGCUAGUUGGUGAGGUAAAGGCUAACCAAGGCGACGAUCAGUAGGUGGUCUGAGAGGAUGAUCAGCCACAUUGGGACUGAGACACGGCCCGAACUCCUACGGGAGGCAGCAGUGGGGAAUCUUGCGCAAUGGGCGAAAGCCUGACGCAGCCAUGCCGCGUGAAUGAUGAAGGUCUUAGGAUUGUAAAAUUCUUUCACCGGGGACGAUAAUGACGGUACCCGGAGAAGAAGCCCCGGCUAACUUCGUGCCAGCAGCCGCCGUAA